rfam:Triticum aestivum genome assembly, contig: Triticum_aestivum_CS42_TGACv1_scaffold_622080_7DS
GAAAUACUCCCUCCGUUCGGAAUUAAUUGUCGCAGAAAUGGAUGUAUCUAGAUGUAUUUUAGUUCUAGAUACGUCCAUUUUUGAGACAAGUAAUUCCGAACGGAGGAAGUAGUUC